rnacentral:rRNA from 1 species
GAUGAACGCUGGCGGCGUGCUUAACACAUGCAAGUCGAACGGAAAGGCCACAGCUUGCUGUGGUACUCGAGUGGCGAACGGGUGAGUAACACGUGGGCGAUCUGCCCUGUACUUCGGGAUAAGCUUGGGAAACUGGGUCUAAUACCGGAUAGGAAUCACAUGUGGGUGUGUGGUUGGAAAGCUUUUGCGGUAUGGGAUGAGCUCGGGGCCUAUCAGCUUGUUGGUGGGGUAAUGGCCUACCAAGGCGUCGACGGGUAGCCGGCCUGAGAGGGUGUACGGCCACAUUGGGACUGAGAUACGGCCCAGACUCCUACGGGAGGCAGCAGUGGGGAAUAUUGCACAAUGGGCGCAAGCCUGAUGCAGCGACGCCGCGUGGGGGAUGACGGCCUUCGGGUUGUAAACUCCUUUCGUCAGGGACGAAGCGAAAGUGACGGUACCUGGAGAAGAAGCACCGGCUAACUACGUG